AGAGGUGUCAGAAUUCACAAGGAUGCUGUGGACUCUAGGUAGAGAAUAACUACCUAUGUUAACCCAAGGGGACUGCCACCACCCCAAUUCACUAGGUUCAAACCACCAUGGGGCCUUUCAAGCCCCCAUGAACACGCAGCCUUGGCCUGAAGGUCUGAGUCCUCUAUGAUCAAUCCUCAAAUCUUUUGGCUGACACCCACUCCAGCUUCGGACCCGGGCCUCGCUGCCCCAGCUGCCCACCUUCUCUGCUGCCACAUCAAUGGCGGACUGGUUGUAAAAGGAGGUAACAGUCUUGGAGCGCUCCCUUGCCAUCUCCAUGUGGCCAAACCUGGACAACCUUGCUUUCCGGGGCUUCUAUUCUUCAAUCUGAGGCUCUAUUUGGUGGUCUAGAGCGAAGAAGAUCCUCAGACCUGUCCAGCUCAAAACCUCGCCCAGGCACCCUCGUUCAAGGGUCGGGGUGACCCCUAUCCAGGAUCUCCAGACCAGGCACAACCGCCACCUCUCACCUCCCUACACCCGCCUGCCGUGCGUGCGUGCUCCACAAAGCGUAGUGCGCCCGAGGGCAGGCUGCAUCGAAGCUGCGAACCGGAGUCCCCAUCUGGGUACCCUCUCCUCAGGUCACUUGGUUCGGCCUGGAUCCCCCUAUAUGCAAAUUGGCAAUACCCAGGAGUAAAGCCAGGAGGCCCCUCAGCUCCUGAAGCAGGCACUGCUUGAGCCAAUGGAAGAAGGGAGAGAGAAGGUUGCUCCAGACGGGAGGACAGCCUGAGCAGAGACGCAGGGACUGAGUGCUUGCCGUGUGCCGGAACUCACUCGGCGUUCACGUGGCGGCCACGUGGACCCGGUAUGCUAGCUGGCAGCCUUGGCUGCCACAGUUGAGGGAGGUGCCUGGGAACGACCUCACCCAGUUUGACUCCGCCUGAAAGAGCGCCGGUCCGAACACUCUGCUGCCUCCUGGCGGUGUAGACUGCACAUGCACUCCACGAUCCCUCUUCAGAAUACUCUAGAGCCUUAUGUGUACUAAUUUUAUCUUCAUAACAACACUCUGAUAUUACUCUACUCAUUUUACAGUGAGAGAACUGAGGCCCAGAGAGCCCGCCCACCAACCCCUGCUUUCUUUUGGUUACACACACACACACUCACUGGCUCCAGCCACACUGGCCUCCUUGUUGUUCCCUAAACAUACCUCUCGGAGCCUCUCACAAGCUGUUCUCUACCUGGAGCUGAACUCUACCUGGAGCACCCCCCAGAUAUCUACAUAGCUUACUCCCUCAUAUCCUUCAAGCUUUGGCCCAAAUGUCAACUGAAUGAAGCACACCCCAACUGUUAUAUUUAAAAUUGCAAUCAUCCCCAUCCCUCUCCCUGUGCCCUACUUUUUAUUUUAUCCAUAGCUUUUAGCACCACCAACAUACUAUAUACUUUAUGUAGUUAUUAUUUUGCUCAUUUUCUUCUCUUCUUAUAAAAUGUAAGACCAGAGCAUGAAUAUUUGUCUGCUGUACUGACUUAUCUCCAGCCCCUAAUCCUGAUACAUAA